rnacentral:rRNA from 1 species
AUUGAACGCUGGCGGCGUGCCUAACACAUGCAAGUCGAGCGGUAACAGGUGUAGCAAUACAUGCUGACGAGCGGCGAACGGGUGAGUAAUGCUUCGGAAUCUACCCAAUGGUGGGGAAUAACCAGCCGAAAGGUUGGCUAAUACCGCAUACGUCCCACGGGAGAAAGCAGGGGAUCGCAAGACCUUGCGCCAAUGGAUGAGCCGAAGUCGGAUUAGCUAGUGGUAGGGUAACGGCCUACCAAGGCGACGAUCCGUAGCUGGUCUGAGAGGACGACCAGCCACACUGGGACUGAGACACGGCCCAGACUCCUACGGGAGGCAGCAGUGGGGAAUAUUGGACAAUGGGGGAAACCCUGAUCCAGCGACGCCGCGUGUGUGAAGAAGGCCUGGCGGGUUGUAAAGCACUUUUAGUGGGGAUGAAAUGUUCAGGGUUAACACCUCUGGAUCUUGACCUAACCCACAGAAAAGCACCGGCUAACUCUGU